rnacentral:rRNA from 1 species
CACGCCGUAAACGAUGGAUACUAGCUGUUCGGCGCAAGUUGAGUGGCUAAGCGAAAGUGAUAAGUAUCCCACCUGGGGAGUACGCACGCAAGUGUGAAACUCAAAGGAAUUGACGGGGGCCCGCACAAGCGGUGGAGCAUGUGGUUUAAUUCGAUGAUACGCGAGGAACCUUACCAAGGCUUAAAUGUAGAUUGACCGGUUUGGAAACAGACUUUUCGCAAGACAAUUUACAAGGUGC